GGACUACAAGGGUAUCUAAUCCCGUUCGCUACCCUGGCUUUCGUGUGUGAGCGUCAGGAACGCGCCAGUGCACUGCCUUCGCCUUUGGUGUUCCCCAUGAUAUCAACGGAUUUCACCCCUCCACCAUGAGUUCCGUGCACCUCUCGCGCCCUCGAGCCCUACCGUUUCGUCCGCAGCCUCUAGGUUAAGCCCAGAGAUUUAACGAACGACUAAUAGGGCCGCCUGGACACCCUUUACGCCCAGUGAUUCCGGGUAAUGCUUGGAGCCUCUGUGUUACCGCGGCUGCUGGCAC
rnacentral:rRNA from 1 species